rnacentral:rRNA from 1 species
UACGAACUGUGCAAACGUUAUUCGGAUUCACUGGGCUUACAGGGUGCGUAGGCGGCCUGUUAAGUAGGGUGUGAAAGCCCCCGGCUCAACCGGGGAAUGGCGCCCUAAACUGGCGGGCUGGAGUGAGAUAAGGGUGUGUGGAACUUCCGGUGGAGCGGUGAAAUGUGUUGAUAUCGGAAGGAACGCCGGUGGCGAAAGCGACACACUGGGUCUCAACUGACGCUGAGGCACGAAAGCCAGGGGGGCGAACGGG